UACGAAGGGGGCUAGCGUUGUUCGGAUUUACUGGGCGUAAAGCGCACGUAGGCGGAUCGUUAAGUCGGGGGUGAAAUCCUGGAGCUCAACUCCAGAACUGCCUUCGAUACUGGCGAUCUCGAGUUCGGGAGAGGUGAGUGGAACUGCGAGUGUAGAGGUGAAAAUUCGUAGAUAUUCGCAAGAACACCAGUGGCGAAGGCGGCUCACUGGCCCGAUACUGACGCUGAGGUGCGAAAGCGUGGGGAGCAAACAGG
rnacentral:rRNA from 1 species